CCUACGGGUGGCAGCAGUGGGGGAUAUUGCACAAUGGGGGAAACCCUGAUGCAGCGACGCCGCGUGAGUGAAGAAGUAUUUCGGUAUGUAAAGCUCUAUCAGCCGGGAAGAAAAUGACAGUACCUGACCAAGAAGCCCCGGCUAACUACGGGCCAGCAUCCGCGGUAAUCCGUAGGGGGCAAGCGUUAACCGGAUUGACUGGGGGUAAAGGGAGCGUUGACGGGUAUGUAAGUCUGGAGGGAAAGCCCGGGGCCCAACCCCGGGACUGCUUUGGAAACUGGGUAACUGGAGUACAGGAGGGGCAGGCGGAAUGCCUGGUGUAGCGGUGAAAUGCGUAGAUAUCAGGAGGAACACCGGCGGCGAAGGCGGCCUGCUGGACUGAAACUGACGUUGAGGCUCGAAAGCGUGGGGAGCGAACAGGAUUAGAUACCCGGGUAGUC
rnacentral:rRNA from 1 species